GUCCUGUAGCUCAGUGUUUAGAGCACUCACCUUCCAAGUGAGAGGACCUGGGUUCAAUUCCCGGCAGGGAGAAACA